rnacentral:rRNA from 1 species
CAAUAGCGUAUAUUUAAGUUGUUGCAGUUAAAAAGCUCGUAGUUGGAUUUCGGUUAAGAGCGACCGGUCCGCCGUUUGGUGUGCACUGGUUGGUUUUAACUUCCUGUAGAGGACGUGCUCUGGGUUUAACGACCUGGACUCGGAGUCUACGUGGUUACUUUGAAAAAAUUAGAGUGUUCAAAGCGGGCUUACGCUUGAAUAUUUCAGCAUGGAAUAACACUAUAGGACUCCUGUCCUAUUUCGUCGGUCUCGGGACGGGAGUAAUGAUUAAGAGGAACAGUUGGGGGCAUUCGUAUUUCAUUGUCAGAGGUGAAAUUCUUGGAUUUAUGAAAGACGAACUUCUGCGAAAGCAUUUGCCAAGGAUGUUUNCAUUAA